rnacentral:lncRNA from 1 species
AACUCCUGACCUCAAGUGAUCCAUCCGCCUCGGCCUCCCAAGUGCUGGGAUUACAGGCAUGAGCCACUGCACCCAGCCUAAUUUUGAUUUUUUUUUAAGUGGUUAAAAUAAAAACACUGCUGUGCCACUCGAAGGGGCAAAUUUCCAUUCAGAGGAAGUAUCAGUUAUGUGUAAUCCUCAUUCCCCACAAUGUUGGAUAAACUAAGUGUUACCCAAAUUCUUAGACAAGAAAAGAAGUCACCACAGAACCAAGCUCAAAAAUGCAGAGCAAGGAAGAUCUAAUCUUAUCUGCAAUUUUAAAAAAUAGACACGGGGUCUCACCUGUUGCCCAGGCUGGCCUGGAACUCUUGGGUUCAAGAGAUCCUCCUGCCUUGGCCUCUCAGAAGUUCUGGGAUUACAGGCAUGACCCACCGUGUCAGGCCUUAUCUGAAAUUUUAAACAAACCCUAAAAAGACAAGUGCCUUGUCUUUUCAUGCCAGGCCCAGGUGCUGCAUUUCACUGUACAGGUGUGUGGCCCUACAGGUUACAAGCUCUCUGUGCUUGAGUUCUCAGCCUUGAUGCUUCCUGCCAGGGAGAGAUGUUCAUCGUCCUGCAAUUUGAGCUUCCAAAGGCUCAAAUUUAGCCUGAAGGUAAAAAUCAAGGAGGCUCAAAUUUUAGCCUGGAAGGUACAAAUCAAGGAAUAUGUAUCAAAGUAACAGGAACAAAGGAACAAUCUUCUGCUUCUUGCCCUUACCAUUGAGUUUCUCCCUUUUCAUUCAAGAUGUCGCCAUGGUAACUCACAUGUGCCUCCAAACAGCCGUGAUGGGCCCGGUUGGAGACUGGAUUAUUACUCUCAAUUUUUCACUCCCUCCCUGUAAUAGAAUUCAGCAUCCACAGCCUUUGCCCCAGACUUUGCAGAGUCCCCCACUAGAGUCCACAGAGCACAUUUUCAUGACCCACUGAUGCUGUUCUUGACUAUGUGAUUUGUUUGCCAAUGGAAUUUUGGUUUUUUGGCAAAGUCUCUGUCAUCCAGGCUAGAGUACAGUGGAAUGAUCUCGGCUCACUGCAACCUCUGACUCCUGGGUUCAAGCAAUUCUCUUGCCUCAGCAUCCCAAGUAGCUGGGACUACAGGCACCCACAACCACACUCAGCUAAUUUUUGUAUCUUUUAGUAGAGAUGGGUUUUCGCCAUGUUGGCCAGGCUGGUCUUGAACUCGUGACCUCAGGUGAUCUGCCCUCAGCCUCCCAAAGUGCUGGGAUUACAGGUGUGAGCCGCUGCGCUGCGCCUUGCCAAUGGAAUAUUAAAGGAUGUCACCUGAGCAGAGGUUUUCAAUGCGUUUGCAUGGUUUGGCUUGCCUUCUCAAACCUCUGCUAGCUGCCAAGAGAAGCUGCUGGUCCCAGCAUGAGAGCCAUGUGGGGCAGACAUGAUCUGGAUCCACAACCUGAAGCAGAACCACCACAGCCGACCUGAACACCUAUAGGUGAGAUACAUAAAUGUGG